AUUCUGGUUGAUCCUGCCAGUAGUUAUAUGCUUGUCUCAAAGAUUAAGCCAUGCAUGUCUAAGUACACACGAAUUAAAAGUGAAACCGCAAAAGGCUCAUUAUAUCAGUUAUGGUUCCUUAGAUCGUUAACAGUUACUUGGAUAACUGUGGUAAUUCUAGAGCUAAUACAUGCAAUUAAAACAUGAACCUUAUGGGACAUGUGCUUUUAUUAGGCUAAAACCAAGCGAUCGCAAGAUCGUUAUAUUGGUUGAACUCUAGAUAACAUGCAGAUCGUAUGGUCUUGUACCGACGACAGAUCUUUCAAAUGUCUGCCCUAUCAACUUUUGAUGGUAGUAUCUAGGACUACCAUGGUUGCAACGGGUAACGGGGAAUCAGGGUUCGAUUCCGGAGAGGGAGCCUGAGAAACGGCUACCACAUCUAAGGAAGGCAGCAGGCGCGUAAAUUACCCACUCCCAGCUCGGGGAGGUAGUGACGAAAAAUAACAAUACAGGACUCAUAUCCGAGGCCCUGUAAUUGGAAUGAGUACACUUUAAAUCCUUUAACAAGGACCAAUUGGAGGGCAAGUCUGGUGCCAGCAGCCGCGGUAAUUCCAGCUCCAUAGCGUAUAUAAAGUUGUUGCGGUAAAACGUUCGUAGUUGAACUUGUGCUUCAUACGGGUAGUACAACUUACAAUUGUGGUUAGUACUAUACCUUUAUGUAUGUAAGCGUAUUACCGGUGGAGUUCUUAUAUGUGAUUAAAUACUUGUAUUUUUUCAUAUGUUCCUCCUAUUUAAAAACCUGCACUAGUGCUCUUAAACGAGUGUUAUUGUGGGCCGGUACUAUUACUUUGAACAAAUUAGAGUGCUUAAAGCAGGCUUCAAAUGCCUGAAUAUUCUGUGCAUGGGAUAAUGAAAUAAGACCUCUGUUCUGCUUUCAUUGGUUUUCAGAUCAAGAGGUAAUGAUUAAUAGAAGCAGUUUGGGGGCAUUAGUAUUACGACGCGAGAGGUGAAAUUCUUGGACCGUCGUAAGACUAACUUAAGCGAAAGCAUUUGCCAAAGAUGUUUUCAUUAAUCAAGAACGAAAGUUAGAGGUUCGAAGGCGAUCAGAUACCGCCCUAGUUCUAACCAUAAACGAUGCCAGCUAGCAAUUGGGUGUAGCUACUUUUAUGGCUCUCUCAGUCGCUUCCCGGGAAACCAAAGCUUUUGGGCUCCGGGGGAAGUAUGGUUGCAAAGCUGAAACUUAAAGGAAUUGACGGAAGGGCACCACCAGGAGUGGAGCCUGCGGCUUAAUUUGACUCAACACGGGAAAACUUACCAGGUCCGAACAUAAGUGUGUAAGACAGAUUGAUAGCUCUUUCUCGAAUCUAUGGGUGCCUGGUACAGCCCGUUCUUAGUUCGUGGAGUGAUUUGUCUGGUUAAUCCGAU
rfam:Drosophila sechellia strain Rob3c scaffold_1552 genomic scaffold, whole genome shotgun sequence.